rnacentral:lncRNA from 1 species
AAACAGAGCACUUGAUUUUCAAAAUUAAACAGCAACAACUCUACUUAAAUCUCCCGAUUCUCAAAAUUAAAAGAAAACAGAGCACUUGAAUUUUAUAUAUAUAUAUAUAUAUAUAUAAAGAAGCAGGAAAAGAGAAACAACAAAAGAAACAAUAACUCUGCUCUUUUCAAGAAUUAAUGUAUUUUUGAAAAUGCGGUACUUAUUGCUUUUCAAAAUGGGUUGCUGGUGACGGUGCCAUCCUCAGAAUCCUUCCUGUUUGGCUUCUGGCUUCAGCCUCAGAUUUGUGCUGCCUUUCGGCCUUCGCUUGCUUCAAUGUUGCCAUGAAUACGCUUGCACGGUCCUCUUGAUUCAAUCUCAAAGGUCUUCGCGCGGCCUAUCUUUUUGUGAGAACAUCGAGACGUGAGGAGUGAAUAAGCCAAUGAGAAAGCUGAGAAGCCGAAAAGGAUAGAAUCCAGCC